CAAACGGGCCUUUUCAGGACCAACCACAUAUUCAUAGAAAAGCUA
rfam:Lingula anatina scaffold487, whole genome shotgun sequence.